rnacentral:misc_RNA from 1 species
GAGCGACGACACUACGGCGCAUGCGCGCUGCUAGCGGAAAAUUAGCGGAGCUGCGGAGGCUAGCGGAGGCGCGCUGUUCUGCAAAAAUAGCGGGGGAGGUAGCGGGAUGUGCUAGCGCGGGUCUCGCGAGAACGAGUCGUUGCGAGAUUAGGGAAGGCCGGGGAGAUCCAGCGUUCUCGAUCACUUCCAAGAAGUCCGCGAUGUCCGCCGCGUUGAAUGUGCCCGCUGAGCGGUCGCGCUUCAUCGUGGCAGACGCCAUUCUGCUACUACAAGAGAUAGCAGCGACAAACCCAUUCGAUGACCACGACAGGUGGCGAGCAAUCACAGAGAUGGUCAACAAGACAACCGUAAAAAACUUCACAGCUCGCGCCAUACGCGAACGCUGCGACCUGCUACUCGGCCACUUUCGUCGAGAAGACAGGGCAAACUUAAGAAAGUAAGUACAGUAACCUUUGUUCCUUGAGCGUAUUUUAAGCGGAAAUCGGCGAAACAUUCGGUCUGCGGCUCGUUCUGAGAUCCACUGCCUGAACUCACCUGUGCAGGACUGGCAAGCGGUGAUGCAAUGAGGGCACAGCCACGGAUACGCCAGAUUUGUAUUCAUAGUACGGGUGUCGUGUUUUCGGAGUUUAUAUCUUGUGAAAUUGGGAGACUGUUUUACGGAGCAUAUAUUUUGCAAGGAAAUCGUUGUUUAACGCAGUUUAUUUUCGUUAUAUUUCCAAUACUCCGAAAUUAAUAAAGAGAUGGUCUGCGUUGCUCUUUCCCAGAUUUUCCAGUGAUUUUUCCCGCCCCGGCCAGCGUUUUUUAGUCAGCUCAUAUCGAUUCCCACUGUACAUUUUAUUUUCCUCUUCCCUUGCUCAUGGGGAUGACCUUUUAAGUAGCCAUGUGGCUUGACCACAUGAGACAAAAUGUGAAAAUUGAUCGGAUGCAGAGUUUUGUAUUCCUGUUUGAUAAGAGCCAAUGGCUAUGUUGAUGCAGCAUGACUUUUCAUGAGGCAGUUACUUGCUGCAGGUGUGACUAAAUAAAAUUCAGGGUUGUUGCGUGCAGAUAUGCUAAAUCUUAACAACUCAACUCACAUCUAACAAUUAACGAUACUAAAUCACCUCGUGUUGAAUUGAAAUAUAUACUCCUGCUGCAAUCAUUUCCAACUUAUUCUUUAAACAUUAGGUCUGGCACAGAGGAGCAAUACUCUGAAAAGGAGCACCUGCUCCAAGAAAUAAAUGGCAUGGCGAGGGAGUUCGGCCACCAAGUCAGGGUCCAGCCCAGGAAAGUGGGCAUGACGCCGGGCAACGCCAUAGGGCCAGGCAGCAGGACCAACAAAGCUUCUGCCAGGGCAGAGCUACACGCCGCCAAUGCCAUCAGGGAGACAGCUGUGACGGCGGUCAAUGCAGCAGCCGCUGAGCACUCUUGGCAUCGGUGUCGUUCUUGGAGCUUCAUCACUAUGCAUUUCCGACAUUCUUGAACUACGAUGUGUGAGAAUGGAGCCAGAAGCACGCCUGCAGUUGCCACGCCUGCCACCGGAGGCCCUUCGCAGUCGACGUCCACCGAUGGGGCCAAUGGGUCCGAUCGCACGAGGUCACCACCACCACCUAGGACAAGAACUGCGGCACUGCGAGGAAAGAAGAAAACUCGCGAUGGGAACGUGGCCGCCUUCUUGCAGCAGCGCAGUCAUCAGGAGCGAGCCAUUCGAGAGAGGGAGCUCGAUAUAGAAGAGUGGAGACUCGCUCUAGAUGAAAAACGGCUGGAGCUCGAGCGUGAACGAUUUGCCGAGGAAGCCCAGGCGAGAGCCGAGGAAAGGCGCGAGCUCUCCGAACAGCGACGGAUCAUGUUCGAGUUCCUGCUCGCUCAGGCCAAAAGGAGUUGAAGAUUUGUGGCUCUACUUCCAAUAAAUGAAAA